GAGUUAAAUGGUAUUAAUGAUAGGGACGGAUCCUGUAUUACAUGAAGCAAUGGAGCAACAAACUAUUAGUGUUGCAAAGGCACUGGAAAAUCUUAGUUUCUCAAGUUUGCUUCAAGUCUCAGUCCUCGUUCUGUAUUAACUACUGGAGUGGGUACUACUAGUGCUGGACUAACUGUUGCUGCUGUUAAGGAUGGCAGUGAAUGGCAGUUAGAAGCUGGUGCUUUAGUAUUAGCUGAUGGUGGACUGUGUUGCAUAGAUGAGUUUAAUAGUAUUAAUGAUAGGGACAGGUCCUGUGUACAUGAAGCGAUGGAGCAACACUAUUAGUGUUGCAAAGGCUGACCUUGUGUGCAAGUUUAAACACUCGUUCUAUUCUAGCAGCAACUAAUCCUAAGGGAAACUAUGAUCCUGAACUAGUGAGAUCAAUCAACUAAUGAUAGUACAGGUAUUAAUAAGCUAGUCCACUGUUGAGUCGUUUUGAUGUUGUACUGGUAUUACUUGAUAGUUAUAAUGAGGAAUGGGACUGAUUUGUUUUGUCAAGAAAAAUAGCAAAGGCUUUGCCGAACAAGGUAUUGACACAGUCGCAGAGUACAAUCAUCUCUCUCAAUACAGAGAAAAUUAUACCUUCCUCAUAUUUGCUACCCCUGCAACGGUGCAACCACACCUAUCACUUCUUUUCUGUUGAAUGACUGACCAUUAUGAACUCAAUACUUUGGACUGGAGCUUUGAUGCAUAAAUUCAAUUAUUAUUAUAAA
rnacentral:lncRNA from 1 species